rnacentral:rRNA from 1 species
CUCGGAAAUGUGUGUCCAAGCAGCAAGUCUGAGAACGAGUGAAAUGCUUUUUCUCUCAAGGACAAGCUGUGAUGGGGAGCGAAAUUUAGUAGCGAAGUUCCUGAUGUCACACUGCCAAGAAAAGCUUCUAGUGAGAAAGUAACUGCCCGUACCGCAAACCGACACAGGUAGUUGAGGAGAGAAUCCUAAGGUGUGCGAGAGAACUCUCGUUAAGGAACUCGGCAAAAUGUCCCCGUAACUCCGGGAGAAGGGGUGCUGACCGCAAGGUCAGCCGCAGUGAAUAGGCCCAAGCGACUGUUUAUCAAAAACACAGGUCUCUGCAAAAUCGAAAGAUGACGUAUAGGGGCUGACGCCUGCCCGGUGCUGGAAGGUUAAGAGGAGAGGUUAGCGCAAGCGAAGCUUUGAAUUGAAGCCCCAGUAAACGGCGGCCGUAACAAUAACGGUCCUAAGGUAGCGAAAUUCCUUGUCGGGUAAGUUCCGACCCGCACGAAAGGCGUAACGAUUUGGGCACUGUCUCAACGAGGGACUCGGUGAAAUUAUAGUACCAGUGAAGAUGCUGGUUACCCGCGGCAGGACGGAAAGACCCCAUGGAGCUUUACUGCAGUUUGAUAUUGCGUGUUUGUAUCACAUGUACAGGAUAGGUAGGAGCCGAAGAUACCGGGACGCCAGUCUCGGAGGAGGCAACGGUGGGAUACUACCCUUGUGAUAUGACCACUCUAACCCGCUGCUCUUAGCGAGCAGGGAGACAGUGUCAGACGGGCAGUUUGACUGGGGCGGUCGCCUCCAAAAAUGUAACGGAGGCGCCCAAAGGUUCCCUCAGAAUGGUUGGAAAUCAUUCGUAGAGUGUAAAGGCAGAAGGGAGCUUGACUGCGAGACCUACAAGUCGAGCAGGGACGAAAGUCGGGCUUAGUGAUCCGGUGGUUCCGCAUGGAAGGGCCAUCGCUCAACGGAUAAAAGCUACCCUGGGGAUAACAGGCUUAUCUCCCCCAAGAGUUCACACCGACGGGGAGGUUUGGCACCUCGAUGUCGGCUCAUCGCAUCCUGGGGCUGUAGUCGGUCCCAAGGGUUGGGCUGUUCGCCCAUUAAAGCGGUACGCGAGCUGGGUUCAGAACGUCGUGAGACAGUUCGGUCCCUAUCCGUCGCGGGCGUUGGAAAUUUGAGAGGAGCUGUCCUUAGUACGAGAGGACCGGGAUGGACACACCGCUGGUGUACCAGUUGUUCUGCCAAGAGCAUCGCUGGGUAGCUAUGUGUGGACGGGAUAAACGCUGAAAGCAUCUAAGCGUGAAGCCCCCCUCAAGAUGAGAUUUCCCAUCACUUUAAGUGAGUAAGACCCCUGAGAGAUGAUCAGGUAGAUAGGUUGGGAGUGGAAGUACAGCGAUGUAUGGAGCGGACCAAUACUAAUCGGUCGAGGACUUAAC